AUUCUUUCGGAUUCUACUGGGUGACAAGGGCAAUGGAUGAUAAAAUGGCUGCUGUCUAUUUUAUUGUUUCUGGGAGAAGGAGCGCCAAAUUGAAACAGACAAUUGAGACUGGCUCUGGCAAGGAAGUGUUGGCAGACUAUGGCAAGUUGUACAGCUGCUGGUUGAGACCUUUGACAAAAACAUAUCUGUGGAAUUCACUGAAGGAAAAAACAUUGUCUUUAUUGUCUGGAGCUGGGAUACUGCCUACUGAGAGGAGACUUCAUUUGUAAUCAUAUACAAGCUGUGAAUAAUCUGGACCCUUCUGAAGUGGUUUGUAUGACGAAAUGCUUUUUAAAUUUCCAAAAUUCUUGUUUAAGAAAAAUCUUCUUCUACCAGAGGGGACUGUCCCUCUAUAAAGUCUUGAGAACAUGGCUAUUUUGAGAUGAUGGACUAGCAUAGCAAAUGUAUGAGGUGGCUGGUAGGCAAUCUCAACCUACCAGCUCCCCCAGUGUCUCUGGGGACCUCUAAGAAGCUUCACAGCCUGGAGGCUUGAUUAUUGCCCAAAGUUCAAAGAAGGGGAAAGAAAACACAAGAGGGGAGGAUCUAAAUGACAGAAGAGAGAUAAUGAAUAACCAAUAUGUCACACAGGAAGGCUUUGAAGGACAUGCCCUUCCACCCUCUCUUCACUCAUUUUGAGUCUUUCUUAUACUGUAUCUAAGUUCCCCUGAACCCAUAAAACUGGGCAGAAAUUUUCUGAGUCAAAUAUUUGCUUGACAAUUCUUUUCUCACA
rnacentral:lncRNA from 1 species